rnacentral:rRNA from 1 species
AUACGGAGGGUGCGAGCGUUACUCGGAGUCACUGGGCGUAAAGCGUCCGUAGGCGGUCGGGUAAGUCGGGUGUGAAAGCCCCGGGCUCAACCUGGGAAGUGCACCCGAUACUGCUCGACUCGAGUGCGGGAGAGGAUGGCGGAAUUCCCAGUGUAGCGGUGAAAUGCGUAGAGAUCGGGAGGAACACCAGUGGCGAAGGCGGCCAUCUGGCCCGCAACUGACGCUGAGGGACGAAAGCGUGGGGAGCAAACAGGAGUAGAAACCCUAGUAGUCC